GCUGGUAUUGCACAGGUUGCGAAGGCUGGACCCUUUGCUGUUGGGUGAGAAGUGGCCUCUCUCUCAGCCAUGCAAAGCAUCAUGGGGAGGCACCAAAGGACCAUGUUCAAGCAGUUUACUGGAACUGAAAAAUAGUUACCAACUGCAAUAAAAGCCUUUGGGCUUUAUCUUGCAAACAAUCCUGGCAGCAUAGUGAAAGGGAUGCUUUCUAAAUGGUAUUAGAACAAGUUCUAAGCUAGUGCCUUCAUACCCUUGUCAGUUCAGACCUAUCUGACCAGACAGAGAAACACACCUCAAUGACUUCCUUCAGGGGAUCUAAACAGUUCUGUUACUCUGCGUCCUUUCUCCUUCUCACCUUAAAUUCUUAUCAACAGCUUUUCCCUUUGAAACAGGGACCCACUGAAGCCAUUCUCACUUGGCCUACAUUGACUUAGUGACUUGGACUGCCAAGAAGUUUCUGUGAGCUCUCUCAGAUCUGGUUUGGUCCAGUGCUGCAGGUCUGUAAACUUCAUCCCUUCCUGCUCUUCUGCCUGUACCCAGGUGCAUCAACCAAAAGCUUAACUACAAGCAUUUCCUCACUAAAAAGCAGUGCUUUCAGAUGUUCAGUUCACAUGGUGACGCUUGGACCUGCCUCUGAGGAUCUGAUGUGAGACAAGAGACAGAGGAGACCCAGCAGUGUCCCCCCAAGAUCUGGGGUCAGGAGAUGGAAAAAUGCUGUGCCCUGUACCCCAGCAUUGCCUUUGGAAGAAGUGACAAGCAUUGUAAAACACCUGCUAACAGAAAUGUAAGCUCCAUAGACAGAGAAAGGAACCUUGCCAUGUAACCCUGUGCUAAACUGCAAAACCUCUACAGCUCUUCUACCAAGUCAGCAUGGAAGAAGUUCAGGAGCCUGAAAUUACCUUCUGGGGAAUCUCUAAGCGUCAUAUUCUUUUAUUUGUAAGGAACCAGUCUACCCAAGACCAAGAGGUAUUAGGAUGGCUACCCAGGCUCUGAGAUCUACCUCUGCUCCAGAAAUUAAAAUUUCUCUUCGAAUAACAGGAUGUUUUUCUUGAGGAUGCUAACAAAAUCACCUGCCAUGCAAUCUGACGCAGGAGACAUGUUUCUGGUGUCCAGGUGCCCUUUUCCAGCUAAAGCAUGAUAAACACACAAACAGGUCACCCCCCCACCCCAGCCCCUGAGUUACAACCUACCUCAGAAAGUCAUGAUAGCCCAGGUUCUUGUAAAUAAAUCUCUUGGGGCAGAUUAGAGUAAAACGACACUGAAUGAUCCAUGUUUGUAAAUAUAUAUAUAUACAUAUAUGUAAGUCUUAUUUUGGAACAAUUUGGUUGCAAUGGAAAGCAGGUAUGUAGCUGUUUUGGUUAUUACUAUCUAUAAUAAUAUAGCAACAGGAAAGCAUAAAAAUACCACAUAAGAAAAUGUAUGAAAGAAAGAAAGAGGAAGAAAGAAAAAGGAAAAGAGUAAAAACAUAUCGCCACCCAUAUAUCUCAGUGACAAGAGUUCUUUGUUGCAAUAUAGUUGUCUGUUGGUCGAAGUGAUAGUCUUGAUCCAUUGGGGCUGGGGGAAGAAGCCUGUGAAACACAAAGUGCGAUGGGUUAAUAUACCCUUACAUUCAGGUCGGAAUGGUACCUUCCGUGUGUGCAGGGGGAGCUUUCAGUCCUCUGGUGGAAGGCCUCAGAAACGAGCUUGGGGACGCUUCUCGUGUCUUUGAUGGUGUAUGACACCUUCUAAAGACACAGCUGCCUCUCACAUCAGAGCAGUUUAGCCAGUAAAUGCUCCA